rnacentral:rRNA from 1 species
GAUGAACGCUAGCGGGAGGCCUAACACAUGCAAGCCGAGCGGUAGAGUUUCUUCGGAAACUUGAGAGCGGCGCACGGGUGCGUAACACGUGUGCAACCUACCUUUAUCUGGGGGAUAGCCUUUCGAAAGGAAGAUUAAUACCCCAUAAUAUAAUGAUUGGCAUCAAUUAUUAUUGAAAACUCCGGUGGAUAGAGAUGGGCACGCGCAAGAUUAGAUGGUUGGUGAGGUAACGGCUCACCAAGUCAAUGAUCUUUAGGGGUCCUGAGAGGGAGAUCCCCCACACUGGUACUGAGACACGGACCAGACUCCUACGGGAGGCAGCAGUGAGGAAUAUUGGACAAUGGGUGAGAGCCUGAUCCAGCCAUCCCGCGUGAAGGAUGACGGUCCUAUGGAUUGUAAACUUCUUUUGUACAGGGAUAAACCUACCCUCGUGAGGGUAGCUGAAGGUACUGUACGAAUAAGCACCGGCUAACUCCGUG